AUAGGUUAUUCGAAUAAUGGUAAAAACCGAUUAAAAAUUAACCUUUUUCAACACGGGGAUUGAAAAUCCCCGUGUCCUUGGUUCGAUUCCGAGUCCGGGCACCA
rnacentral:tRNA from 1 species